GCAUGGAUUGAGAAUAUGGAAAAGGAAAAGGAAAAGGCAAGGAAUAGAGCCCGCUUGCUUCUAGUCUGUCUAAGGCAUUUGUGUGUAAGCACAAGAAAGAAGCACCUCACAAGGUUACUCCCCCGCACCACGUUGCACAGCUGUUUUUUUCUCUUGUUUUUGCUCUCCAAUCUAGCCAGCUUGUAGUGGCACCUGAACGAUCUACUUGGCUUCUAUCGACCUACAGAUUCUCUACGUAGUGCCAAUUCUUCACUUAACCAAGAUAGGAAGUCAGGAGCUGAUCGACUACUGGUCCAAAUGAGUAUGGAGAUUGCUGAAGAGCUGAGUGGUCGAUCUUGAGCCCGAAAAUGACUUCAUCUAGAGGCUAGAGACCGACAGACCUGAUCAAUUCAUCAUGCGUACAGAGGUUCUCAAGGCGGACACCAUUGAUGUGGCCGUCGACAGGAUUCUCGUUGAACUUGGGAAAGACACUACAAGCAGCAGAGAGAAUGCCAUCUACUUUGAUGGCUGGGAUGGUCUUGGGGCAUCUGCUGUCCUGCAAGCCGUAGCCAAACGCCUCGGAGUAUCAAAUGAGCCGUGGACAAGGCCUGCAGGGCUGGUGUUUGAGAAAAUCAUCCACAUUGACUGCUCAAAGUGGGAAGGCAGAAGAGCGAUGCAGAGGAAAAUAGCAGAGCAGCUGAACCUUCCCAAUUGGGUGAUGGAGAUGUUUGACAAGCAAGAUGAGCUGGAUGAUAUAAAUGGGUUAGAUGAGGGCUCCCGAACUGAGAUAGCACAAGUUGUCAGAGAGAUCUAUCAAACCACACAGAAUCGGAGAUUCUUGGUGAUUCUGCAUAAUGGAGGCAAUGAGGAGAUUGAUAUAUUCAAUUUUGGCCUUUCUCUAUAUGGAUAUGCCAAUAGCAAGAUGCUGUGGACUUUCCGAGGGAGGUUUCGGCUUGACCCCAAGAUGACAGACAACGUGAAGAGCACAACAACACAUGUUCUUCUUUCAGCUUCAAGAUAUGGGCGAGAUCCGCAAGAGCUUUGGUCUUAUCUAGUUCACCAUGAGGCAGCACAACUUUCCUGCUAUAAGCAUAGCUGUAUCUUCAUAGAUUCAGCGAUUGCUGCUGAGUGUGUCUUGUAUAUGCUGAAACAGUGCUGCAUCGGCUCUCACAUCGUCGACUACGACUGGGCUAUACACACCAGUAAUUAUUGGGUAUGCGAUGGGAUCAUCCCAGUGACAGACAUUGACAAGGCAUGGGAAGUUGGUGAUGUUGUACAGCAUGAGGUACGGUUGUUGAACAAUGACAAUCGACUUAGUAAUGAUGAAUCAACAGUAAUGCUAUCCUCUCACCUGACAAAGUCAGCUGAGCGCAUGCCAUACUGUAUUUCAACAGCAACUUGUGGAUUUGUACAGAGCCGCUUCAGUGUUAUUCUCGAAAACAUGUUUCAACACUCGCACGGGCUCCGCGUGCUCAAGCUCUCAUGGUGCACCUUCAAUUUCUCAUCGCCUCCAUUCCUCUGUUGCCAUAGCUUGAGGUUCCUGUGGCUUGAGCACUGCCAAGAUGAUCUAACAAGAAUUACCAUAAAUCAUCACCACACAGAUGAAGACAAAUUGAAGGAUGAGUUGGACAACAACAACACCGCUAGAUCGUGCUCAUGCUUUCAAAACUUGUGGGUGCUUGACCUGCGGUACACAGAUUGUGAUCAGAUCUUGUCAGCAAGCAUGAUGGAUCUCAUGACCCAGCUCAGGGAGCUAAACGUGAUGGGUGCUGAAAACUGGGAUAUGAGCCAUUUGCGAGGACGGCUCUGUAACAUUCGCAAGCUCCGGGUAACAAAGUCCACCUGCUUCUUCAACAACAACAUGUUGUCAGAGAUGGAAAGGAUGGAGCUUCUUGAUUUUUCGGGAAAUGACAUCACACAAGGCAUGACAUGCUUAUCUGGGCCAGCAAGCAACGGUAGCCUUAAGAGCGUCAUUAUUGAUGGAUGUGAUGGGUUGAAAAAUAUCUCUUUUAGGGGAUGCAAAGAAUUGGCAAACGUGGUGUUGAAAGGAUUAUUGAGGGGUCUCGAGGAGCUGGAACUCUCAGGCACAAGAGUGAAAAUCCUCAACCUUGGAGGAGUCAGAUACGUCCCCAAGCGGAUCGUCCUGCUAGACUCUGAGAAGCUCCGUGCAAUAUUGUGGCCAAGGAGUAUGAUAGUUGGUUGGCGAGAAAACUGGCCGAGAGUGGUGCACAUUGACACAACCUCACCAUCAACACCAGCUUAUAGUGGGGAGGCACCACUUGCACAUCCAUAAGCUGAUCCAUCCCUCCACCAGCAGAAAGAAGAAAUGUUUAAGGGUGGAUGGCAGAUUUCUGUUACGGACACUAGGCUCCUUAGGUCUCUUUGUCCCUUAGGCAGUGGUUUUUUAGCGGAGUCAUCAUUACAUAUUGAUAUAUAUGCCGCAGCAAAUAUCCAAGGAACAAGCUGCUACGAACUAGUGCAAGUACAAACGCAUAAAAGUACCAUAAUGGACUCCAAGUACAAAGAUGUACUGAAGAAUGGCCCAGUUGCAGAUUUGAUGGUGUGGGACUGCCCCAAGAUUUACAUUCGUUCACUUGAAUAUACAGUUAUGAUAAAGGUGAUCAUGGAGGACAACAAACUUUUGGAGGAUGCUCCAGGUGCUAGUACUAACGCAUUAUUAUUUCCUUCCUGUAUACGUUGUCGGGCUACAUCUAUGCACAUGUAUGAUAACGCCUCCGUCACCAGUAUCUCCGUGCCUGAAGAAGGUUGGGAUAGGCUAGGAUGGUGCCGGGUGGAAAGGUGCCCCAAGUUAGACACAGUAUUUACUGUUCCCCGGUACAGCAAAUACAUCUUUGGUUUUCUGGAGACAUUCUGGGCAUCCCAACUCCUCUCUGCACGCUACAUCUGGGACAUGCCAGUUGAACCACACUCUUUCACCCUGAACUUCUUGCACCUGGACCACUGUCCCAUGCUCGUACAUGUACUCCCCUUAUGCCUGGGCUAUUGGACAGGGUUGCGUGGUUUGGAAACCCUUGAGAUAGUGUAUUGUGGUGAUCUCACGGAGGUAUUCCCUUUGAGCGCUGAGCUUCAAGAGCAGGAUAAAAUUAACGAAUUUCCCAAGCUGAGGCGAAUACACCUGCAUGAGCUCCCCGUGCUGCAGCGCAUCUGUGGACGCAGGAUAUUUGCGCCUAAACUCGAGACCAUGAAGAUCAGGGGCUGCUGGAGCCUUAGGCGCCUGCCUGCCGUUGGAGACAACACCAAACCGCCCAAGGUGGACUGCGAGAAGGAAUGGUGGGACAACCUGGAGUGGGACGGGUUGGAGGAGAACCAUCAUCCUUCCCUCUACGAGCCGAGUCACUCGUUGUACUACAAGAAGGCCCAGCUGCCUAGAGGCACCGUACUCAGGUAAUGAUCUCUUCGUGGGUUGAUAUUGAGCUUCUUUCAACGCAAUAUGCAUCAUCGUCGAGCAUGCAGUGCUACCUCCUACAUAGCUGAAGCUUUCCUGCCGUGUGACUGUGUGUUGCUUGCCCUGCUCCCCGCUUGUUUGGUUUGUGGUCUUCUCUCUACAUCUGUGUUGCCUUGCUGUGGCUUCCAGUUUGAUUUAAUUUGGUUUGGUUUGACCAUCUUUGCUCAGAGCUCUCGAGCAAAUGAGAAAUAAAAUAAAGUGGGCAUUCAGCUUAUGCAGCACACAUGGGCUCAUGAGUGCUCGCGCUGCUGUGUGCUCAUUCUGCAUGUGUGGUUGCUUAUUACGGUACGAAUUGUCGGGUAUGGGGUGAUUGUAAUUUGUAAACAUAAACGGUGAUGGUGGUGAGUAUAUGUGUGUGUGGUGUCGUUUGUUGUGGUAUUAUGAAUAUUGUCACUUGUUAUGUGCUGAUUGUAAGUAAUUAGCUGGGAUGGUGUCUGUUCCCAUGCCAGUUUUAUGUAUGUGCAUCGUGCCAUUGUGUACUUGGACGGUUGGACCUGAUGUGCUAUUUUACCUGUUAGGCUGGCAUAUAUGGAGUAAAGCUCAUUCACCAUCUUUCAGAGAUAGAUGGUGUGCC